CACGCUAGCGUGUGAUAAACAAAAGUGAUAUCAAAAUGGUUAAUACACUAACAUCAGGGAAUCUACAGCAUGUUUUAAUUAAACAACCUAAUUCUGUGCAAAUUCAUGAAUACCAUUCCUAUGGAGCCAAAGUCUCUCGUCUCUUUCUGAAAUGAAAAAGAUAGAAAAAUAAAUGUUAAGCAUCUUUCAAUAACAAUGGGCAUGUGCCACUGGAGGUUUUCUAUGGACAUUUCAUCCUAGUACAAAGUCAAGAAUCUACACUGCAUAACUCACAAGCUCCGACAACUUUGCCCCACCUAUUUCCUCAGAAAGUGUCUACAACUGAAUGUGUUGAACAUAGGAAAAUAGUCUCAAAUAUUUGUUUCCCUGUAAUGGUCCAGAAUGGCCUUUUGUUCCACUAUGAUCAAUGUAUUGAGUUCUUAUUGUUGAUGUACAUGGAUCAAGUCAAGGUAUGCCCCAGAGUUAUUAGUAUCCUUCCACUGACUUUCAGAAUGGAAGAAACCUGGAAAUGUAACUGAAAACUAAUCUGCAGAUAACUAUGACAGAAAACUAAUCUGCAGAUAACUAUGACAGUUACCGCCGUCCAUGUGCCCAAUGCCGGUUAUGGCUUCCAGGUCUCAUAUGUGGAUUCUUUUGUACAAGCCCCUGUUUAGGGAGAUCAUGUAACUCCAUGACUUGUAUCGUCCGCUGUCUCUUGGCAUUCUCAGCUUGCUGAUAUCGCUCCUGGAGUUUCCUUUUGGAGGCUUCCAGUUUCAUCUGGACAGCAAUUUCAUCCGAACACUUGAAUUUAUUUUGCUGACCACUUGGAGGCUUUCUUUGGCUGAUAGCCUUUUCUGUUUUUUGCAUUAUCUUUGAAUCAUUGUUUGCUUUUCGCUCAACACUUUGUUUUGGAGGUCUCCCAGGACAAGAAUCAGCAUUUGAGGGUCUAUUUGUCUUUAGGACAGCUUCUUGCCUCCUCAUUUGUUGACUCAUAUUGUCCUUGGCAACAACAAUUGCCUCAUUUGGAGUCUGCUGUUUUCGCUUUGUGAUAUUCUGAUUCUCCAUUGAAGGUUUUCUUCCAUUUUCACGGUUCUUGAUGAAUUCCCCACUGUUUCGAGGAUCUGAAACAACAUUCCCCUCUCAUAAUCAUGAAUCUAAAAAGUGGGGAAUUCAAAUAAAGAACCGAACAGAAAAAGCUAUCUACAAGAAGCAUAAGAGAUGGCAGAUUCAACUCACUUCCAAAGUCAUCCAUGCCAUCAAAGAACUUCACAUGAGGCAAUGAGAGCAACACCCAAAAAGUAUAACCAGUCAGCUCACUAUUCGAAUGUCCAGAAGCAAAUUUAUUAUCCCAAUUGAAUAAGAACUAAAAAGAAGAAGAUGCACACCUGUGAGAGCUCUAUCCCAGUAGUUUGUGGGGCAAAGAAAGCUCCUUCAUCUAAUGGAGGAGAUGGAAGGCCUUCCUCUUCAUCAACGACAGAGGGAUUCAUAGACUCAGGAGUACCUUCAUCACUUUGUAAGUUGCUACCUCCAAAAGCCUUUGUAGCACUAUACCACUCAUCCACCAAAACUUUCCAUCCAUCUAUAAGAGUUCGUGCAAGGUGACAAAUCUGCUUUGAACCAUGCUUCCGGAGGCUAUUGACAGCCUUUCCGAUCUCGGUUGCCUUAAGUGUAUCCACAGUCAGAGCCAUCAAUUGAAGCCUUCUUAACGAUUCAAACAACACAGAAUCAGACUCAUCUCUGCUGUUGAGAAGAAUGUCCUUGAUCCUCAAGACCUCACCAACUACCUGAGACUCUUCCUCAAUCUCAUCCGUCAACGCCUCAGCCUCUCCAUAACUAUAAUUACUUACCAAGUGAUCGUUCACAUUCACUUCUCCAUUAUCAAAAUCAUUAUCAUCCCUAUUGCUACUAAUGACCUUGCUCUCCUUGCUCCCUCCAGCCUCAAACUCACAUCCAUCAAUAUCAAUAUCUUCGUCAUCAUUAGCACCAUUACCACAACCACCAUCUCUUCUAUUGCAGCCUCCAUCAUCAUUCUCACCUUCAUGAGCGGGCACAGCCAGUUCAACCCGAUUGCAACCGGUGCACCGGGUCAAUCUGGAAGAAAACAAACGCUCAGCAAUUCGAUCUCUACGCAACCGGAACUCUUUGGGACAAUCUGAGGCUGCAACAAUGAUCGCAUGAUCGAUAAUACCAAAAAUAUCACAAUUUGCAGUACUAAAAUAGUUCCUCCAGUAAUCUAACGACAAGGGUUUCAUCAUGAUUUGACAACCCAGAUCGGUCGAGAUUCUCUUGUCGAUUAUGAGGUUUAAUUCAUAUGUGAAUAGGAAAAAUGAAUGUCAAAAAAUGUUAGCUGGGUGAUAAGAGAGAGAAAAUUAAGGGUUUGAAAUUCUUGAUUCCGAUAAAAAAUUUGAUGUUGAUAAUAUUUAUUGAAGGUUUUUCUUUUUCUUUUUCGUUACGUCAAGAUAAGAUAAUCAAGAUAUGACGGUGAAGGAAAAAAAAGAGAAUCAAUCCACUGUCCGACAGAGACAAUACGUUGGCUUAUUUUGGUUUCUAUUUUUCCGGAUUCAGAUAAAACUUUCCCGGAAAAUAAGCCCCCAGAAAAUUUCCUUGACAAGAAAACUACAAGAAACCUAUUUCACCCUCAUCUCCCUAUCCUCCUCUCUCUCUCUGUCUCAAUCUUUUUCUGUUUGGUUUCUACAAAAAAGCGGUAGCGGUGAUGUCUGCCUACACGAGCCAGACAAUUUUGCUGUUUUUUUCUUUAAACAAAUAACCAAAACUAAAAGCCAAUCACCUUGUAAGUAGGAGAUUGGGCUUUUUAUUCUUAUCACUGUCCGGUGAAAGAUUUU
rnacentral:misc_RNA from 1 species